AGUGAAACAAUGGUUAGGUCGAUUAAAACAGAAAGGAUUUUGGUCAGAUGCCUUCUGGAAGGCUUGCAAAAGACUUCACUGAGGCAGCCCUUGAAGUACAGCCACAGAUCCUGAAGAGAGAAAGUAUUUGAAAGCAUCAAGAUUUGGGGAGAACUAAAAUCAUCCAAGAACUGGAAUUUUCAUCAUCUCAGGCACCCUACUUAGCAAGUCAUUUUGCAAAGGUCUUUUCAUCUCAGAAAUGGUCAUGUCUGCUCCCUGGUGAUAAUGGACAGCACUUCCCACAGUUUUUGUAACAUGGAGGAUGGUCUAAGUCACUGCAGAUUAUAUCACUGCUAGAUAAUCUGGUGCAAAAAUCCCUUGGUGAUAUCUGCAGCUCUCCAUGCCACACAGUAGGCCACAGGAGAUCAACACCUCCUGAUCCAAACAAGAAUCUGUGAAAACUUGAGAGGUGUUUUCAGUGACUGCCAUGUAGGUAACUCCCUCUCCAUGAGACUGCUCCUCCUGCCCGUCCUGAGAAGAGAGAAUUGCCCAUGAAGUCAUCUGUAUCCCUCUGGCAGACACCUUAAGCCCCAUGUCCAAUGUCCCUCAGCAUGACAAGCCCUAGAAGUCCCUGGGGGCUGUGCCCACAUCCCUGCUGUGUGUCCCCACGGGAUAGGUCUGGGCUGAAGCAGCAAUGUGGGCAAAAACACAGCACCCAACCUUCAGGGAGCAGUUGUCUAAAAGACACUUGGGGAGCUUCUGCGUCCGUGGGGUUCAUAGCUUGUUUUAUUUAAAUUUUGUUUUAGUAGAGAUACAAAUGGCUAUGCAUAUGGAAAAGCUCUCCUGUUAGCAGAAUAUUUUAGAUUCCACGUUUGAUCUUUAUUUUAAUCAUGGAUAUCAAAAAUACAGACUGAAUGUUAAAGAUGUUCUAACAGACAGAAAGAAGGAUGAGUGAGAGCUUAGCAAAGUAAUACAGGUCUGGAAAAUAAGAUUCAAUGACCUUUUAAUCACUGGCUUUCUGGGUAUGUAAAGGAAGAUAAUUUAUUUUCCCCUUGCUUCAUUUUCUUUCGGUACAGUGGGGAUAAUACAACUUACUUUAAACCAGCCUUGCGGGAAGAAAUAUAAAAUAUUGGCAGUUUAUUGCAGGUUUUGAUCAAAGGAUCACACUAGCUAUUUACUUUGGGCAAGUAAAUUAUAUGUGUAGAAGCAGAAUUUCAAUUUAAAAUAGGUCAUGAAAUGAUGAUGUGGUAAGGCACUCCUCUAUGACUCUGACCAGAGAGUACCAGAGGACCUGUGGUACUCUAUGAGACAUCUGUACCAUGAGCUAAAAAAACAAUUGGACAUUAGAGAGCCUUUGACAACCUUCAGAGGAAAAGACGAGUUAUCACCUUUAAAUCUGAAAUUAUAGAUAAUUACAUUCUCCUCCCUCAGUCCCCCUGUAGUUCCAAUUAGAGUUGCUAUUUCUCACUUCCUCUCCCAAAGCGUGGCACGGUGCUGCUAUGCAUUAUUGAGCAGCUGCCUCAUUUGACCCCAGAGGUGACUGUUUUUUGGAGCUGGAAGAAACGAGCCAUACAGAUUCCUUGACUACAUCACAGAGAUAUUGUGACUGGCUUAAUUAGAUAAUGCUCGAGAAGUGUUGUGAGAUACUUGGAUUAAAAGCAUUAUAUAAGGCCAAAUUAAUUAUGAGUAUUAAUACAAUCUUGAUCUAAAGAGUAAUUUGAAUAAAGGAUAAAAUAAUAAUGAGAUCUUUGUGAGUCACAUACAAGAGUGCUUUGCCUCUCCAUAUAAAAUAUCUCCCACAUCAUUUAAAAUGUUUCUGUGGAGCAGAGUAGGGCAGUGCCGCUCAGAAGUGACAGAAAUAUGUGCUGCCGAAUGUGAGUCAUAGCUGAACUCCAACAUUCGCUCCUUUGUUUGCAUUUUAGGCAUAAGACAUCCUGUUCCCUACUACAGAAUUGCCUGCAGCUACCUUGAUAGAAGGGAAAAUUAAGAACCUGACAGGCAAAGGGGGGUUAUUGGGUUUUGUUGUGAGGUGUGGGGGAUUAUCUUCACUCCCUGUGCAGAUCUGUGGUAACAUGGCACAGCCAUUCUUGGCCUGGGGUGAAACUCUGACAUUUUCGAAUUCAAGGAAAUCUUUCCAUUGACCUCAGCAGAACCAAGUUUUCAACCACUGAUGUGUUUUAUUGUCAUGUUCUUUCAUGGAAGGAAAUGUGGAAAGGCUGGUAAUUAUGUGAAUUUAUGUAGCCAUGUAGACAAUUUCCCUACAAAAAAUGGAAAGUGGAAAAAUCAGACUGAACUGAUCUGAGUGGUCUCCAAAUCUCUCUUGAUAGCUGGGUGGCCAGUACAGCUUUCCACUGAAUCUUUUUGCUUGGUAAGGUUUAUACAUUUUGAUUGCACCCAGAAAGUUUGGUAUCAGAUUUAUUUUAAUGAAAUCUGAAUGUAUGGAGAUUGGAUUUCUAGCUCUAAAGUUUUUAUAUUUCCUAGGGUAGAUUCUUUUGAUUAAAUAUACAUAUCUACAUUAUAUUUAAGACAUCUGCUUUAGACUGAACUGAGUUUCUUCUAGAUCUGCACUGACUCUAACAGGAGUCUGCAGUAACUAACUACAUUUAGUCACGUGGAUUUUAUAGUUUUAUACUAAGUAAGUAUUUUAGGGUUUUAAUGAAAUAGGGCUGAAAUACUGAAUUAUUUAAUGUUACUAAGCUAGUUAGCACAGAAAUAUGAGCAAAGAAUUGUAUUUUAACUUUAAAAGCAGUGUAUCUCUGCAGAUUUCUUCCUUUGUUUACUAUCUAACCGAAUAUUGGAAUCGAAUAACUAUUGUCUUUUCAGGCAUUGGACUAAUACAUCUAAUGAAUAGUCUUCACACAAACUUCACUUAUAAUACCAGAUUUUCACUUGCAGUCUUCCUUGUCAUGUAAAACUGGAGUUGACUGACUACAGCAGAGCAUAGAAAUGACAUUCUGAACAUUUAGUUCUAGUCCUUUUAUUUUUGUUUACUUCUCUGCUUCAUUAUAAUGAGAUAAACAUUUCUGUGUGCAGAGGAUUAUAAUUACUCAUGUCCAUGGAGCAGCUCACUAGAGAGUAUAAUUAUUGCUCACAUUUUGGCUCAAGGCAAGAAUUAGACUAGCUAGCCUGACACGGUCGUGACUCUUACAUUUUAAUUUGUUCACCUCCUGGUAGCACCCAACAGAUCACCUAUGCCUCUCCUAAUUUUUGAAUACAGAGAUGAAACUCCUACCUCUUUUCCUUUUUCUGUGAGGAUGCUCUUCGUUUCUCAGAAUGAAGUUCACCUUACGGAUAAAUAAAAAUGCAGAGCUGUCUGAAUGGUCACCUGGCGCAGAGAUGGGGGUGGCACACAGGGCAUUUGGCCAUGCACAUGGCACAGCCAAUGUCACAGAAAUGUCCAAAACCACAGAGACAUGGCCGACAGUGCUAGGUGCACAGGGAAUUUUUUGAAUUCAGCAAGGACUUAGGGCAAGCUAACAACCUACUGGGGCUGAGAUAUAUUCAGGUUGGAGAUGACGUAUUGCUCAUGAGCCACAUGUAGAUUGAGAAUCAGUUUGAGGUAGCUGCUGUGGCUGCUGAGAACUCCUUGAAGACAGUGGGCAUGGCCAGAGUCACCACCUAGCACAGGCAGCUGCUCCUUUACUAUUAUAUGGUGCAUUACAUGCCUGUGCAUGACUGACACUUCUGGUUUCUUCUAUUUUGUCUUUGGUACAUGUUGUCAUUAAUGCUUCAGUCCGACAAAAGUCUUCAGGGUUUAACAUAGUGUAUCUGGUAAGGCAUUACAGUUUGUGCUACCCCUUGGCCUAAACUAAACAAGUUACGCUUUAUCAAGCAAUAAGAACAGGCAAUGCCUGUUCUUUGUCCAUUAGUGGGGAAUCCUGAGCAUUUAAACCACUGAAAAACACCAGGCACUCAGACUUUGCCAGGGUUGGAUGUCUCUGAGUUUGUGGGAAGAUUUUUCUCCAGAGAAGGGAGCCCUGACCAUCUCCUCAGAUCUUUAUUGUGGGAUAAUAAUUUGGGAACUACAGCCCUAGCUGUAAUUCUAGUGUCAGCCACAAUUUCUCCAUGAAACCUUGGUAAGGUAGAUGAGUGCAUGUAGAAAUGGGCUUUCUACUCUGCUUGCUGUGAUGGAGAGAACAGAGCAGCCACAUUUUCUUCUAUACCCUUGGUUGAGAUUUUUCCUUUCAGUGUCACCAUUUACAGAUGUCUGCCCUGACUCCAUGAAAAAAAAAAAAAACAAAAAAACAAACACACAUCCACCUUGAAGGCAGGCUAAGGAACUUAAGGAAUUUCUUACUUCCAUUCUUUUUUCCUGUGUGUGGUUUAUAUUUUAUUGCAACACUUUUAGUAUUAGUUGCCACAUAUGGCCAUUAGGAGCUUUUCUGAAUAUGACAUCUCACUUUUUUGCUAAAGUGAAACAGGAUUAUAGUUUUUAAAUUCAACCUAGGUUCAGAACUCAUGAGAAUUCCACACAAAUGCAAUUUUAAUGACUUAAAUGUACCACUUAUCUCAUGCCUAAAUGUAGCCUCAAACGAGUCAUUUUAAAACAAUAAUAAUUUUUCAGAUAAUUGUCUCAUUACAGAAAUGCUGGAAGUGGUAAGAGGAGAGUGAGUGAGCAAGUUGCAAAUAUUCCAUAUUCUGUUUCAAUAACUCCUUGUAGCAAAUAUUUACAAAAAGUGUAAAUUAAGAAGUUUAUUCUGCAUACUAUAAAUGCAUUUUACCUGUUUCUUUUAUAAGACAUCUCACUUUAGAAUUUCAGAUGGUUUUACAAAAUUGUUUCAAAAAUGAUGAUUCUGUAGUGUUUGCAUACACUUGAUAUAUAUCUUUGCAAUUAUUUGUUCUUGUGCAUCCUUCUACUUACAGAAUAAAGACUGUUUCAAAUUU